rnacentral:rRNA from 1 species
UUAAACUGGGAUUAGAUACCCCACUAUGCCUAACCGUAAACCAUCCAUUCACAACUACAAACGCCAGGGAACUACAAGCCCAGCUUAAAACCCAAAGGACUUGACGGUGUCCCACCCACCUAGAGGAGCCUGUUCUUUAAUCGAUAAUCCACGUUUAACCUUACCAUUUCUUGCCAAUCAGCCUGUAUACCUCCGUCGCAAGCUUACCAUAUGAAUGCCCCAGUAGGCUAAAUGAUACUCUCACCAAUACGUCAGGUCAAGGUGCAGCUUAUGAAACGGUAUAGCAAUGGGCUACAAUUUCUAACCUAGAACAAACGAAAUGCUACAUGAAAUCUAGCAUGAAGGCGGAUUUAGCAGUAAAAAGAAAACAGCAUGUUCUUUUUAACUUGGCUCUGGGACGCGUACACACCGCCCGUCACCCUCA